rnacentral:rRNA from 1 species
AGCGAACGUUAGCGGCGCGCCUAACACAUGCAAGUCGCACGAGAAAGGGAGCAAUCCCGGUACAGUGGCGCACGGGUGAGUAACACGUAGAUGACCUUCCCUGGAGUGGUGGAUAACCUGCCGAAAGGCGGGCUAAUACAGCAUGGGACCACAUGGUUUUGACCGAGUGGUGAAAGCGGGCCUCUGUUCACAAGCUCGCGCUCUGGGAUGGGUCUGCGUCCCAUCAGCUAGUUGGUGAGGUAAUGGCUCACCAAGGCAUCGACGGGUAGCUGGUCUGAGAGGAUGACCAGCCACACUGGAACUGAGACACGGUCCAGACUCCUACGGGAGGCAGCAGUGGGGAAUCUUGCGCAAUGGGCGAAAGCCUGACGCAGCGACGCCGCGUGGGUGAUGAAGGCCU